GGAAGGAUCAUUAAAAUAAAAUAGCGGGUUCCUCUUUGAAAAAUAACGGGAUGUCUGAACCCUUGAAUACAAAACCUAGUUGCUUUGGCGGGCUGCCUUUGGGCGCUGGCCUCGGCUGGUUGCCCGCCAGGGAACAAAACUCUAAGUUUCAGUGAAGUCUGAGUACUAUAUAAUAGUUAAAACUUUCAACAACGGAUCUCUUGGUUCUGGCAUCGAUGAAGAACGCAGCGAAAUGCGAUAAGUAAUGUGAAUUGCAGAAUUCAGUGAAUCAUCGAAUCUUUGAACGCACAUUGCGCCCCUUGGUAUUCCGAGGGGCAUGCCUGUUCGAGCGUCAUAUAAACACAUCCCUCACGGGGUCUUGGGAUCCGCCUCCGGGCGGUCCUUAAAAUCAGUGGCGGUGCCCUCUGGCUCUAAGCGUAGUAAUUCUCCUCGCUAUAGAUUUCAGGUGGUUGCUUGCCAAUAACCCCUAAUUUUCAACGUUUGACCUCGGAUCAGGUAGGGAUACCCGCUGAACUUAAGCAUAUCAAUAAGCGGAGGAAAAGAAACCAACAGGGAUUACCUCAGUAACGGCGAGUGAAGCGGUAACAGCUCAAAUUUGAAAUCUGGCUCUUUUAGGGUCCGAGUUGUAAUUUGUAGAAGAUGCUUUGGGCGUGGCUCCGGUCUAAGUUCCUUGGAACAGGACGUCAUAGAGGGUGAGAAUCCCGUAUGUGACUGGCUGCCUUCGUCCGUGUAAAGCUCUUUCGACGAGUCGAGUUGUUUGGGAAUGCAGCUCAAAAUGGGUGGUAAAUUUCAUCUAAAGCUAAAUAUUGGCCAGAGACCGAUAGCGCACAAGUAGAGUGAUCGAAAGAUGAAAAGCACUUUGGAAAGAGAGUUAAACAGUACGUGAAAUUGUUGAAAGGGAAGCGCUUGCAACCAGACUUGCACGUAGUUGAUCAUCCGAGGUUUUCCCCGGUGCACUCGAUUGCGUUCAGGCCAGCAUCGGUUUGGGUGGUUGGAUAAAGGCCUUGGGAAUGUGGCUCCUCUCGGGGAGUGUUAUAGCCCUCGGUGCAAUGCAGCCUAUCCGGACCGAGGACCGCGCUUCGGCUAGGAUGCUGGCGUAAUGGUUGUAAGCGACCCGUCUUGAAACACGGACCAAGGAGUCUAACAUCUAUGCGAGUGUUUGGGUGUCAAACCCAUACGCGUAAUGAAAGUGAACGGAGGUGAGAACGCUUAAGCGUGCAUCAUCGACCGAUCCUGAUGUCUUCGGAUGGAUUUGAGUAAGAGCAUAGCUGUUGGGACCCGAAAGAUGGUGAACUAUGCCUGAAUAGGGUGAAGCCAGAGGAAACUCUGGUGGAGGCUCGCAGCGGUUCUGACGUGCAAAUCGAUCGUCAAAUUUGGGUAUAGGGGCGAAAGACUAAUCGAACCAUUGCCAGAGGCACAGCUGCUUAGGUGGUUAAGAGCCAGAUAAAGAUCUUUCUAGUCCUCCUGGAGGGCAACACUAUCAAAUUGCGGGAACAUCCUGUCAGUUUCAAGCUACCGCAGUCCGUCGAAAGGCGGGCGAGCACCAGGUUAACGACCUCGGGGAUGGUAAUAACGCUUGGAUAGGGACAAUCCGCAGCCAAAUCCUACGGGCACCUCGUGCCUAUGGAUGCUGUUCACAGACUAAAUGGUAGUGGGCCGCGUUCGCGCGUGGCUUAAGGUAUAGUCGGUUCCCUGAGAGAUCAGUGGAGUAAACGCUAGUAGCUGGUUCCUGC
rnacentral:misc_RNA from 1 species